rnacentral:rRNA from 1 species
ACGGGGAGCAGCAGGCGCGAAACCUUYACACUGCACGCCAGUGCGAUAAGGGGACCCCGAGUGCGAGGGCAUACAGUCCUCGCUUUUCGUGACCGUAAGGUGGUCACAGAAUAAGAGCUGGGCAAGACCGGUGCCAGCCGCCGCGGUAAUACCGGCAGCUCGAGUGAUAGCCACUAUUAUUGGGCCUAAAGCGUCCGUAGCCGGCCGAACAGGUCCGUCGGGAAAUCCACCCGCUCAACGGGUGGACGUCCGGCGGAAACCAGUCGGCUUGGGGCCGGGAGACCAGAGAGGUACGUCCGGGGUAGGAGUGAAAUCCUGUAAUCCUGGACGGACCGCCGGUAGCGAAAGCGUCUCUGGAGAACGGACCCGACGGUGAGGGACGAAAGCUUGGGUCUCGAACCGGAUUAGAUACCCGGGUAGUCCAAGCCGUAAACGAUGCUCGCUAGGUGUGGCGCAGGCUACGAGCCUGCGCUGUGCCGUAGGGAAGCCGAGAAGCGAGCCGCCUGGGAAGUACGUCCGCAAGGAUGAAACUUAAAGGAAUUGGCGGGGGAGCAC